rnacentral:snRNA from 1 species
GGGUUCUUGUGGAGGGGGACCUGGCUGCAGCUGAGCUGGCUGGCUAGGCAGGUGCCCCUUCCUCCCUCACCAGUCCAAGUGCAUCCUUCCCAGAGCUGUGCACUCUAUUGAAGAGUAUGGCCUCCUCAGAAUAGAGAUGGACUGGGAGUCGGGUGGUAGCAUAGCGGGUUAAGCACACAUGGCGCAAAGAGCAAGGACUGGCAUAAGGAUCCCGGUUUGAGCCCCCGUCUCCCCACCUGCAGGGGAGUCGCUUCACAGAUGGUGAAGCAGGUCUGCAGGUGUCUGUCUUUCUCU